AUAGAAAUAUAGUGCUUCCGGAUAGGGAUGAUGCUAAAAGAAAGAAACUAGGGCUUGUUUAUGAAUCUCAUGUUUUUAAUUCACUGCAUCAUUAGCUGUAAUUUCAAAACUUCACAGGAGAUCUGUGAAGAUCUGUGAGAUUCUUAUUCUCUUCCUUCUGACUUAACAAAGCUGACUAAAUAGCUUCUAAUCAUUGUCAAGUCUCGCUCUAACCACUAUUUCUGGGUUAAAAUGCAACACUCGGAAAAACUUCC
rnacentral:lncRNA from 1 species